GAAUUGCCAAGCACGCAAAGAACGUAAUAAGCAGCGAGGGCAAUGGGGCAUACAAGCUCGAAUGUAAUAAAAACAAAAUAUGUGCAAUAUAUAAUAUAAAUGAAAUGUUCCAAGUGCAAU